rnacentral:rRNA from 1 species
UAAAGGCAGCAGUGGGGAAUAUUGCACAAUGGGCGAAAGCCUGAUGCAGCUAUGCCGCGUGUAUGAAGAAGGCCUUAGGGUUGUAAAGUACUUUCAUCGGGGAGGAAAAACAAAACUAAUAAUUUUAUUUCUUGACGUUACCCGAAAAAGAAGCACCGGCUAACUCCGUGCCAGCAGCCGCGGUAAUACGGAGGGUGCUAGCGUUAAUCAGAAUUACUGGGCGUAAAGAGCACGUAGGUGGUUUUUUUAAGUCAGAUGUGAAAUCCCUGGGCUUAACCUAGGAACUGCAUUUUGAAACUGAAAUACUAGAGUAUCGUAGAGGGAGGUAGAAUUCUAGGUGUAGCGGUGAAAUGCGUAGAUAUCUGGAGGAAUACCUGUGGCGAAAGCGGCCUCCUAAACGAAUACUGACACUGAGGUGCGAAAGCGUGGGGAGCAAACAGGGAUUAGAUACC